CAUUCCGAACACGGAAGUUAAGCCCACCAGCGUACCGUGAAGUACUGGAGUGAGCGAUCCUCUGGGAACCACGGGUCGCCGCCUGCC
rnacentral:rRNA from 1 species